rnacentral:misc_RNA from 1 species
AAGUCGUAACAAGGUUUCCGUAGGUGAACCUGCGGAAGGAUCAUUAACACGUAUCCAAGUCGUACUCGUACGUCCGUUAGAAAAAGCAGCAAUCCCUGGUAAAUCAUCGCCGAACAGUUUUCGAUUCAGGGACGUCUGCAAGGAGCGUGCAUGUUGUGCGUGUAAGUGGCCUGGCAUCCCCAAGCAGUUAGUGUCUGAAAGUGUCACUAACGUUAGUGUCUGAAAGUGUCACUAACAUGUGUAAGGAUGACGCAGUCACGAUCGUUGGAGGCCCACACGGCCGACGACCGGGUCACUGGGUGCAAGCCCCCUUAUCACACCCCUGAUCCUGCGGGAAGUCCUGCGGUCGAACGCCGAACAACUGUUAACAAUGGAUAUCUUGGUUCUC